AAACUAACAAGGAUUCCCCUAGUAACGGCGAGUGAAGAGGGAAAAGCCCAAAUUUGUAAUCUGGCUCUUUCAGAGUCCGAGUUGUAAUUUUAAGAACUGUUUUCCGUGCUGGACCAUGUACAAGUCUGUUGAAAAACAGCAUCAUUGAGGGUGAAAAUCCCGUACAUGAUAUGGACUACCAGUGCAAUGUGAUACAGUCUCUAAGAGUCGAGUUGUUUGGGAAUGCAGCUCAAAGUGGGUGGUAAAUUCCAUCUAAGGCUAAAUAUAGGUGAGAGACCGAUAGCAAACAAGUACCGUGAGGGAAAGAUGAAAAGAACUUUGGAAAGAGAGUUAACAGUACGUGAAAUUGUUAAAAGGGAAACAUUUGAAGUUAGACUUGUUAUUGUUGGUUCAACUUCUUUAUUGAGGUGUAUUCCAAUGGUUAACAGACCAGCAUCAAUUUUUGGGUGUUGGAUAAGGGUUUAGGAAAUGUAGCAACCUUGGUUGUGUUAUAGUCCUUUACUUUGAUACAAUGCUUAGGAUUGAGGAACGCAGUAAGCUUUGUAGCAGAUUUCUUUGGAAAUCUUCUUACUA
rnacentral:rRNA from 1 species